rnacentral:rRNA from 1 species
UACGUAGGGUGCAAGCGUUGUCCGGAAUUAUUGGGCGUAAGGAGCUCGUAGGCGGUUUGUCGCGUCGGCUGUGAAAACUCGGGGCUCAACCCCGAGCCUGCAGUCGAUACGGGCAGGCUAGAGUGCUGUAGGGGAGACUGGAAUUCCUGGUGUAGCGGUGAAAUGCGCAGAUAUCAGGAGGAACACCGGUGGCGAAGGCGGGUCUAUGGGCAGUAACUGACGCUGAGGAGCGAAAGCGUGGGGAGCGAACAGG